UACAGAGGGUGCAAGCGUUAAUCGGAAUUACUGGGCGUAAAGCGUGCGUAGGUGGUUUGUUAAGUCAGGUGUGAAAUCCCUGGGCUCAACCUAGGAACUGCAUUUGAUACUGACAAACUAGAGUGUGGUAGAGGGUGGUGGAAUUCCCGGUGUAGCGGUGAAAUGCGUAGAUAUCGGGAGGAACAUCAGUGGCGAAGGCGGCCACCUGGACCAACACUGACACUGAGGCACGAAAGCGUGGGUAGCAAACGGG
rnacentral:rRNA from 1 species